GAUGAACGCUGGCGGCGUGCCUAAUACAUGCAAGUCGAGCGAACAGACGAGGAGCUUGCUCCUCUGACGUUAGCGGCGGACGGGUGAGUAACACGUGGAUAACCUACCUAUAAGACUGGGAUAACUUCGGGAAACCGGAGCUAAUACCGGAUAAUAUAUUGAACCGCAUGGUUCAAUAGUGAAAUACGGUUUUGCUGUCACUUAUAGAUGGAUCCGCGCCGCAUUAGCUAGUUGGUAAGGUAACGGCUUACCAAGGCGACGAUGCGUAGCCGACCUGAGAGGGUGAUCGGCCACACUGGAACUGAGACACGGUCCAGACUCCUACGGGAGGCAGCAGUAGGGAAUCUUCCGCAAUGGGCGAAAACCUGACGGAGCAACGCCGCGUGAGUGAUGAAGGUCUUCGGAUCGUAAAACUCUGUUAUUAGGGAAGAACAAAUGUGUAAGUAACUAUGCACGUCUUGACGGUACCUAAUCAGAAAGCCACGGCUAACUACGUG
rnacentral:rRNA from 1 species